AAAAAAAAAAAAGAGGGAAGGAUCCAUACUUGCAAUUUUCAGGCCUCCUCGUGCACGCACGUCACCCAGGCACCGUGCCCGAGCAUCGUGCCCUUGCACCGAGCACGCGUGCUGCGCCUGUGCGCACCGUGCACGCACGUCACCCAGGCACCGUGCCCGAGCAUCGUGCCCUUGCACCGAGCACGCGUGCUGCGCCUGUGCGCACCGUGCACGCACGUCACCCAGGCACCGUGCCCGAGCAUCGUGCCCUUGCACCGAGCACGCGUGCUGCGCCUGUGCGCACCGUGCACGCACGUCACCCAGGCACCGUGCCCGAGCAUCGUGCCCUUGCACCGAGCACGCGUGCUGCGCCUGUGCGCACCGUGCACGCACGUCACCCAGGCACCGUGCCCGAGCAUCGUGCCCUUGCACCGAGCACGCGUGCUGCGCCUGUGCGCACCGUGCACGCACGUCACCCAGGCACCGUGCCCGAGCAUCGUGCCCUUGCACCGAGCACGCGUGCUGCGCCUGUGCGCACCGUGCACGCACGUCACCCAGGCACCGUGCCCGAGCAUCGUGCCCUUGCACCGAGCACGCGUGCUGCGCCUGUGCGCACCGUGCACGCACGUCACCCAGGCACCGUGCCCGAGCAUCGUGCCCUUGCACCGAGCACGCGUGCUGCGCCUGUGCGCACCGUGCACGCACGUCACCCAGGCACCGUGCCCGAGCAUCGUGCCCUUGCACCGAGCACGCGUGCUGCGCCUGUGCGCACCGUGCACGCACGUCACCCAGGCACCGUGCCCGAGCAUCGUGCCCUUGCACCGAGCACGCGUGCUGCGCCUGUGCGCACCGUGCACGCACGUCACCCAGGCACCGUGCCCGAGCAUCGUGCCCUUGCACCGAGCACGCGUGCUGCGCCUGUGCGCACCGUGCACGCACGUCACCCAGGCACCGUGCCCGAGCAUCGUGCCCUUGCACCGAGCACGCGUGCUGCGCCUGUGCGCACCGUGCACGCACGUCACCCAGGCACCGUGCCCGAGCAUCGUGCCCUUGCACCGAGCACGCGUGCUGCGCCUGUGCGCACCGUGCACGCACGUCACCCAGGCACCGUGCCCGAGCAUCGUGCCCUUGCACCGAGCACGCGUGCUGCGCCUGUGCGCACCGUGCACGCACGUCACCCAGGCACCGUGCCCGAGCAUCGUGCCCUUGCACCGAGCACGCGUGCUGCGCCUGUGCGCACCGUGCACGCACGUCACCCAGGCACCGUGCCCGAGCAUCGUGCCCUUGCACCGAGCACGCGUGCUGCGCCUGUGCGCACCGUGCACGCACGUCACCCAGGCACCGUGCCCGAGCAUCGUGCCCUUGCACCGAGCACGCGUGCUGCGCCUGUGCGCACCGUGCACGCACGUCACCCAGGCACCGUGCCCGAGCAUCGUGCCCUUGCACCGAGCACGCGUGCUGCGCCUGUGCGCACCGUGCACGCACGUCACCCAGGCACCGUGCCCGAGCAUCGUGCCCUUGCACCGAGCACGCGUGCUGCGCCUGUGCGCACCGUGCACGCACGUCACCCAGGCACCGUGCCCGAGCAUCGUGCCCUUGCACCGAGCACGCGUGCUGCGCCUGUGCGCACCGUGCACGCACGUCACCCAGGCACCGUGCCCGAGCAUCGUGCCCUUGCACCGAGCACGCGUGCUGCGCCUGUGCGCACCGUGCACGCACGUCACCCAGGCACCGUGCCCGAGCAUCGUGCCCUUGCACCGAGCACGCGUGCUGCGCCUGUGCGCACCGUGCACGCACGUCACCCAGGCACCGUGCCCGAGCAUCGUGCCCUUGCACCGAGCACGCGUGCUGCGCCUGUGCGCACCGUGCACGCACGUCACCCAGGCACCGUGCCCGAGCAUCGUGCCCUUGCACCGAGCACGCGUGCUGCGCCUGUGCGCACCGUGCACGCACGUCACCCAGGCACCGUGCCCGAGCAUCGUGCCCUUGCACCGAGCACGCGUGCUGCGCCUGUGCGCACCGUGCACGCACGUCACCCAGGCACCGUGCCCGAGCAUCGUGCCCUUGCACCGAGCACGCGUGCUGCGCCUGUGCGCACCGUGCACGCACGUCACCCAGGCACCGUGCCCGAGCAUCGUGCCCUUGCACCGAGCACGCGUGCUGCGCCUGUGCACUGUAUGCAUGCACCGUGCACACACACUGUGCCCGUGCACGCACGCUGCCUGUGCACGGUGCCCAUGCACUGUGCACAUGUCCUGUGCCAGCACACCAUGCCCGUGCACAGUGCACAUGCACCGUGCACGCACACUGUGCACGCGCCACGCAGCAUGCCCAUGCACCGGGCACGGACGCUGUGCCAUGCGUGCACGCACACCAUGCUGCACACCGGGCCCGCUUCCCGCACAGCGCGCCCGUGCACUGUGCACACACACACCGGGGCAUGCACAGGGGUGCACACGCACCAGGCCACACACCGCGCACCAUACACUUUGGGCCGUGCCUGGUGCCUUUGCACUGUGCCGCUGUACCAUACCCGUACACCGUGCCUGCACACCGCGCCAGGCACCGCGCCUGUGCACCACGCUCCUGCACCGCACCCGCGAGGUGUGCCCACGCACCAUGCGUCUUCACGGCGCUACACCCCACUCCGGCACACCGCGUCUGCCGGCACGCUGCGUCCGCACACCGUCCCGUGCCCCCUCNNNNNNNNNNNNNNNNNNNNNNNNNNNNNNNNNNNNNNNNNNNNNNNNNNNNNNNNNNNNNNNNNNNNNNNNNNNNNNNNNNNNNNNNNNN
rnacentral:lncRNA from 1 species